rnacentral:tRNA from 1 species
GAGGAGAGGCCAACCAACAAGAACUGCUAAUUCUUGCCCCUGAGUAUAAAACCUCAGUCUCCUUA